ACUAAGCGUACACGGUGGAUGCCCUGGCAGUCAGAGGCGAUGAAGGACGUGCUAAUCUGCGAUAAGCGUCGGUAAGGUGAUAUGAACCGUUAUAACCGGCGAUUUCCGAAUGGGGAAACCCAGUGUGAUUCGUCACACUAUCAUUAACUGAAUCCAUAGGUUAAUGAGGCGAACCGGGGAACUGAAACAUCUAAGUACCCCGAGGAAAAGAAAUCAACCGAGAUUCCCCCAGUAGCGGCGAGCGAACGGGGAGCAGCCCAGAGCCUGAAUCAGUGUGUGUGUUAGUGGAAGCGUCUGGAAAGGCGCGCGAUACAGGGUGACAGCCCCGUACACAAAAAUGCACAUGCUGUGAGCUCGAUGAGUAGGGCGGGACACGUGGUAUCCUGUCUGAAUAUGGGGGGACCAUCCUCCAAGGCUAAAUACUCCUGACUGACCGAUAGUGAACCAGUACCGUGAGGGAAAGGCGAAAAGAACCCCGGCGAGGGGAGUGAAAAAGAACCUGAAACCGUGUACGUACAAGCAGUGGGAGCACGCUUAGGCGUGUGACUGCGUACCUUUUGUAUAAUGGGUCAGCGACUUAUAUUCUGUAGCAAGGUUAACCGAAUAGGGGAGCCGAAGGGAAACCGAGUCUUAACUGGGCGUUAAGUUGCAGGGUAUAGACCCGAAACCCGGUGAUCUAGCCAUGGGCAGGUUGAAGGUUGGGUAACACUAACUGGAGGACCGAACCGACUAAUGUUGAAAAAUUAGCGGAUGACUUGUGGCUGGGGGUGAAAGGCCAAUCAAACCGGGAGAUAGCUGGUUCUCCCCGAAAGCUAUUUAGGUAGCGCCUCGUGAAUUCAUCUCCGGGGGUAGAGCACUGUUUCGGCAAGGGGGUCAUCCCGACUUACCAACCCGAUGCAAACUGCGAAUACCGGAGAAUGUUAUCACGGGAGACACACGGCGGGUGCUAACGUCCGUCGUGAAGAGGGAAACAACCCAGACCGCCAGCUAAGGUCCCAAAGUCAUGGUUAAGUGGGAAACGAUGUGGGAAGGCCCAGACAGCCAGGAUGUUGGCUUAGAAGCAGCCAUCAUUUAAAGAAAGCGUAAUAGCUCACUGGUCGAGUCGGCCUGCGCGGAAGAUGUAACGGGGCUAAACCAUGCACCGAAGCUGCGGCAGCGACGCUGAUGCGUUGUUGGGUAGGGGAGCGUUCUGUAAGCCUGCGAAGGUGUGCUGUGAGGCAUGCUGGAGGUAUCAGAAGUGCGAAUGCUGACAUAAGUAACGAUAAAGCGGGUGAAAAGCCCGCUCGCCGGAAGACCAAGGGUUCCUGUCCAACGUUAAUCGGGGCAGGGUGAGUCGACCCCUAAGGCGAGGCCGAAAGGCGUAGUCGAUGGGAAACAGGUUAAUAUUCCUGUACUUGGUGUUACUGCGAAGGGGGGACGGAGAAGGCUAUGUUGGCCGGGCGACGGUUGUCCCGGUUUAAGCGUGUAGGCUGGUUUUCCAGGCAAAUCCGGAAAAUCAAGGCUGAGGCGUGAUGACGAGGCACUACGGUGCUGAAGCAACAAAUGCCCUGCUUCCAGGAAAAGCCUCUAAGCAUCAGGUAACAUCAAAUCGUACCCCAAACCGACACAGGUGGUCAGGUAAAGAAUACCAAGGCGCUUGAGAGAACUCGGGUGAAGGAACUAGGCAAAAUGGUGCCGUAACUUCGGGAGAAGGCACGCUGAUAUGUAGGUGAAGUCCCUCGCGGAUGGAGCUGAAAUCAGUCGAAGAUACCAGCUGGCUGCAACUGUUUAUUAAAAACACAGCACUGUGCAAACACGAAAGUGGACGUAUACGGUGUGACGCCUGCCCGGUGCCGGAAGGUUAAUUGAUGGGGUUAGCGCAAGCGAAGCUCUUGAUCGAAGCCCCGGUAAACGGCGGCCGUAACUAUAACGGUCCUAAGGUAGCGAAAUUCCUUGUCGGGUAAGUUCCGACCUGCACGAAUGGCGUAAUGAUGGCCAGGCUGUCUCCACCCGAGACUCAGUGAAAUUGAACUCGCUGUGAAGAUGCAGUGUACCCGCGGCAAGACGGAAAGACCCCGUGAACCUUUACUAUAGCUUGACACUGAACAUUGAGCCUUGAUGUGUAGGAUAGGUGGGAGGCUUUGAAGUGUGGACGCCAGUCUGCAUGGAGCCGACCUUGAAAUACCACCCUUUAAUGUUUGAUGUUCUAACGUGGACCCGUAAUCCGGGUUGCGGACAGUGUCUGGUGGGUAGUUUGACUGGGGCGGUCUCCUCCUAAAGAGUAACGGAGGAGCACGAAGGUUGGCUAAUCCUGGUCGGACAUCAGGAGGUUAGUGCAAUGGCAUAAGCCAGCUUGACUGCGAGCGUGACGGCGCGAGCAGGUGCGAAAGCAGGUCAUAGUGAUCCGGUGGUUCUGAAUGGAAGGGCCAUCGCUCAACGGAUAAAAGGUACUCCGGGGAUAACAGGCUGAUACCGCCCAAGAGUUCAUAUCGACGGCGGUGUUUGGCACCUCGAUGUCGGCUCAUCACAUCCUGGGGCUGAAGUAGGUCCCAAGGGUAUGGCUGUUCGCCAUUUAAAGUGGUACGCGAGCUGGGUUUAGAACGUCGUGAGACAGUUCGGUCCCUAUCUGCCGUGGGCGCUGGAGAAUUGAGGGGGCUGCUCCUAGUACGAGAGGACCGGAGUGGACGCAUCACUGGUGUUCGGGUUGUCAUGCCAAUGGCACUGCCCGGUAGCUAAAUGCGGAAGAGAUAAGUGCUGAAAGCAUCUAAGCACGAAACUUGCCCCGAGAUGAGUUCUCCCUGACUCCUUGAGAGUCCUGAAGGAACGUUGAAGACGACGACGUUGAUAGGCCGGGUGUGUAAGCGCAGCGAUGCGUUGAGCUAACCGGUACUAAUGAACCGUGAGGCUUAACC
rnacentral:rRNA from 1 species